rnacentral:lncRNA from 1 species
GGGGCCGGCAGGGUCCCGCGAGACUGCGCGGACGCAGACGCGUCUCGACGCACCCCUACACACCCCAACACACCCUAGGGCAGCCCGGCUCAUCCCUGCUCCCUAAUCACGCCAGGGCACCACAGCUCACCUCGGGGGAACCCCGCUCACCUCUGCUCAUCCUGGGGCACCGGCACCCUUGCACAGCCCCAGGCACCCCGGCUCAACCAUGCUCGGGGCUAUCCCGGUCGCAGCCCUGGCGCACCCCGGCUGCCCUCUCUUCCGGGGGCCCGGGCAGUCGCUGGGCUCUCUGUGCCUCAGUUUCCUCCUGGGGUCAGCUGAGCGUGAAAUGGGGGCCCGUGGCUGCACUCUUUCCUGUGGAUCCUCUUGGGAAACUGGCCCAAGGACUCAGAGGCCAGGAUUCACACUCUUCACACAAGGGGACGCGAGCUCAGGGCCGAAGGAACCCACACCCUCAGGACGGGCCAGCCAGGCUGAGCGAGGACUGACUGCCGGCUCAGCCUGCAGGCCCCACAGCAGUGCCGGACUCUGUGUGGAGGACACACACCUGGGAAGAGUGGCUGCUCCACGUCCUCCGGGCAGCCCGACUGGCAGUGCAGUGGCCCCUCGGCGGGCUGCCUACGCUCCUGGGCAGAAUCACGGCCGUGUUGAGUCGUGGUUGUUGAACGGGGCGGCAGAGCAGUCGGCCACGGGGAGGCGUGGGCCCUGCCCGCCCUUGUCCAGCGCUCAGGGAGAGUCCACGGGGGGCUGUCACUCGGCGCUGAGCAGGCAGCUCUGGGGCUGGUGACCGCGCGGCAGGGUUCCUUGCUCGUGUGUCCAGCGGCUCACCUGGUGCCCCUGCGUGGCCCGCCUCACUCACUGCUGUACCCCCUCAUUCUUUGUGGCCUGUAGACGUCCAUCAAAUGACUGAACACUUGCAGGAAUGAAUGCCUGCUUUCUCACAUGAAUUGUCUUGCUGCCCUGGAAGGCAGGACCGGGGGCCCCAUCGCCUGGCAGUCAGAGCUGUAAGGAGACAAUGUGGCUCCCCUGUGUCCACUCCUCCCACCCCCAGGGCCAUUGAUCUGCAAACCCAGUCCCCUCGGGGACAGAGUCAACAAGGGCUCCCAUUUGACCAGCCACAGAGCACUCACCUGCUCAUGCCAGCUCCAGUAAGAGUUGGGGGUCUGUCCCCCCGGGAGGACUUGCCAUCGUGGCCCUGGGCUGGACACGGGUGCAGGGGCCCGGGCGCCGCAUUAGCAUUGUGGCAGGGGCCCGUGGCUGUUGCUCCCGGCACUCCAGGGUUAUUUAUGAAUUCAUCUAUUUGCCGGGACAAGCCUUUCUGCAUUCGGUUCCCAUGGUUGCCUGAAAGCCGGUAUCUUAUUAAUUCUGCAUGUUAUGAAAUAAAUAUAGAUCAGACAAUCGCA